rnacentral:lncRNA from 1 species
CAAGUAAAAGACUCAACCUUUGGAGAAUCCUUACCCACUUCCCUUCCUGAAAGCAGUAUUGGUGCCAUCCUUUGGCAAACCUUGGAAUAUGAAAAACUGCAAGAGUUGCAGCAGUUUCGAGUGGAAUCGAAUUAAACAAAAGACGACUUUGGACAAGCGAGAGAACUGAUUCUUCAUCCAAAUAAUGGCAUCUGGACUCGGAUGAAAAAGGCUCCAGAUUUUUCAUCAUAAGAAGUAUUCAAAGCCAUAUUUAUGAUAUGAUUAUAGCAUCCUCAUUGAGAUGGCAGGAUGUUCAAAAUGUGAUGUUGAAAUGUGAAUGUCUUCUGUUCUUACUGUUUCACUGGUAUCUUCCAUGAUUGCCUCUGAGAUGCUAUUCAUUUUGUUCCACCUAAAAACUGAUGGACAUCUCAUCACAGAGAGUAGAUACUUGCACUUUUCUGAGCAGAGUCUUCCAGGUCACUCUCCUUGUCAUUGUAUACAUGCAACAAAAGAGCGAGCAAAAAAGAAAGAUGACAUACUGGAAAUGUUCAGUCCUUUCCUACAAGCACGACACAAGCAAAGCAAAUUGACACACAAGARGAUAUGA